rnacentral:misc_RNA from 1 species
GACGCGUAUGACGUCACAGCUCUCAAGCGGAGUCGAAAAUGGCGGAGCGUCGACUGUCGUGCUGACCCGAUUUUCACACAGCAGUCAAAAUGGAUGGAGAACUUCUGUCUCUGAAGUGGAACAACCACAGGACCACCUUCUAUCAUGUCAUCAGUGGUCUCCGCAAUAAGGAGACGUACACUGAUGUGACUUUGGCAUGUGAGGGCAAGUUCUACCCCGUCCAUAAACUGGUUCUGUCUACGUGUAGUGAAUACUUUAGUGAUAUUUUUGAACGUACUCCCUGUAAAAACCCUGUGGUGGUUUUAAAAGACAUACAGUGCCGUGAUAUAGAGUUCUUACUAGACUAUAUGUACAUUGGUGAAGUGAAUGUGAGACAGAAUGAACUCUCAUCCCUUAUAAAAGCGGCCGAAUGCCUAAGAAUCAAAGGGUUGGCGGUGCCAGACGAGGAGCCAAAGAAGGCCUCCAGUAAUAGUGUUAGUACAAGUGGAGUGCAACAGAGUGCGAGGCAACGGCCUGAACAGCCCAGUCCGCCAGCCAAGAGACGGAAGGCGGAUGACCGGCGGGCCACUUCUUUAGGAACAGAACACAGCCCAGGCAGACCCCCUGGAGACCCCACCCCCGCCAGCCCAGAUCGCCAGAGCCAUCCCCAGCACCAGCACUCGAGCACUGCGGACUUGGGCAGUGCGAGAGAACAGCCGGAACAGCAGCAGGGCGGCGACGUGAGCACGGACAUCCCAACGGUACAAAUAAAGGUCGAGCAAGACAACUUCGAAACCACAGGCCAAGAUGACUACACCUCGGUUCAAAGUAAUAGCUAUGACGACGGGGGAGGGGACGACGGGGAAGGCCCCCAGGGGUCCGAAGGUAACACCAAUGAGUUCCCAGAGUUCCUCCAGUCGACUGUGGAAAAGGAAGAACCUGUGGCCAUGAGUGACUUUAAUCCUAGUGAUUUCCCUGGGCCUUCGGGUCUACAAAAUAGUGGUUUAGCAACAUGGGAAAGUGAAAAUAGUUCAACAAACUUUGCGGAAGGUCUAUCUGGGGCUGUUGCAGCUGCUGUUGCUGCAGCAUCCCAGCCUCAGCGACAGCAACAACAGUUGUGGGUGUGGCCAUCUUCACAAAGUGACGGGGUAGCGGGUGAUGAGAGAGCUCUACAAGGUGAUGCUAUGGCAUGUGAGAGCCCAGCUGCAGUGGGUGGUGGUACCAUUGGCCCUGGUGGAGGGAAGGUUGUUAGUGCCCGGGGGGCUCCUAGCACUCACCUUCUGUGUCACUUGUGUGGGUAUGUUGCCCAGCGAAGGCAGCACCUGGAAACCCACGUCCGCACGCAUACUGGAGAGAGACCCCACCAAUGUCCCCAUUGUAAAUACAAGUGUAGUGAUCUGAGCAAUCUGAAGAAGCACAUCCGAAUCCAUACUGGGGAGAAGAAGCCCUUUGCAUGCCCACACUGCCCUUUUCGUUCUGGAGAGAACAGCAGUCUCAAGAAACACACAAGGAUAUACCAUACUCCUGAUAAUUCAGUGCAGCCCCAGGAUGCCUUUGCCAUGGCCACCCAACCCACUUACCCUUGGCAAGAUUCGGCCAUGUAAUUAGAUUACUCUAGCCCACAUUCAGAUUGAAGGCAAGGUCAGGGUAUUUUUCCUGGUUGGUGCUCAGUUCUCCAUGGGUAUCUGGCAGUGGGCGACGAGACCCAGAAGUACAUUCAGGCAUACAAGAGGGUCAAAUGGGCAUGCAGCCUGCUCACUUGGGCCCUCGCAGUUUGCAGGUGGCUAUACAGACGACAUAC